CCUGGUUGAUCCUGCCAGUAGUCAUAUGCUUGUCUCAAAGAUUAAGCCAUGCAUGUCUAAGUACAAGCCUCACUAAGGUGAAACCGCGAAUGGCUCAUUAAAUCACACCUAAUCUACUGGAUAGUAGUCAGUUACUUGGAUAACUGCGGUAAUUCUGCAGCUAAUACAUGCUAUUAAGCCUCGACUUCGGAAGAGGCGCUUUUAUUAGAUCAAAACCAAUCGGCUUCGGCCGUACCUUUGGUGAUUCUGAAUAACUUUGAGCUGAUCGCAUGGCCUCGCGCCGGCGACAUAUCCUUCGAAGGUGUGCCCUAUCAUCUGUCGACUGUGGCAUAGACGCCCACAGUGGAUUUGACGGGUAACGGGGAAUCAGGGUUCGAUUCCGGAGAGGGAGCCUUAAAAACGGCUACCACAUCCAAGGAAGGCAGCAGGCACGCAAAUUACCCAAUGACCGAAGGUCGAGGUAGUGACGAAAAAUAACGAUACGGGACUCAUCCGAGGCCCCGUAAUCGGAAUGAGUACAGUUUAAAAUAUUCCCCGAGGAUCUAUUGGAGGGCAAGUCUGGUGCCAGCAGCCGCGGUAAUUCCAGCUCCAAUAGCGUAUAUUAAAGUUGUUGCGGUUAAAAAGCUCGUAGUUGGAUCUCGGCGGGUAGAGGGCGGUUUGCUUCGUAGCAUUACUGCCCUAUUACCCGUAGUUUUUGCCAGAGGUUCCUGGGUGCUCUUAAUCGAGUGUCUAGGGAUGCUGGCAGGUUUACUUUGAAAAAAUUAGAGUGCUCAAAGCAGGCUAUUACGCUUGAAUAUUCGUGCAUGGAAUAAUAGAAUAGGAAGUUGUUUCUAUUUUGUUGGUUUUCGGAAAUCGACUUAAUGAUUAAUAGGGACAGUCGGGGGCAUUUGUAUUCAAACGACAGAGGUGAAAUUCUUGGACCGUUUGAAGACAAACUACUGCGAAAGCAUUUGCCAAGAAUGUUUUCAUUAAUCAAGAACGAAAGUUAGAGGUUCGAAGGCGAUUAGAUACCGCCCUAGUUCUAACCAUAAACGAUGCCAGCUAGCGAUCUGAGGACGUUUUUUUUGUAGACUCCUCAGGAAGCUUCCGGGAAACCAAAGCGUGUGGGUUCCGGGGGAAGUAUGGUUGCAAAGCUGAAACUUAAAGGAAUUGACGGAAGGGCACCACCAGGAGUGGAGCCUGCGGCUUAAUUUGACUCAACACGGGAAAUCUCACCAGGCCCGGACACUGG
rnacentral:rRNA from 1 species